GAACAGCUUAGGUGUGAGGCAGCUGAUGCAAGCAUGCGUCCUGGCCCUGCUUUUAACCGGAGGAAGGAAGCAGACAAGAAGACUGUUGACUGGAUCUUACUGGUGCCAUCAAGCCCGGAUCAGCUGCAGCUACAAUGUUCAAGUUAAGUGCUUAAUCAUAUGUCUUAUGGGGUUUGAAAUAUUAUAGUGGUUGCAGAUAUGGACUCCUUUUGCAUUCAGGGCUUCAGUCCGUUUCCGUGGUGUACAGGCCUGGUGUGUGGUUGGUUUGGUUUCUGUGACUGUGUCGAUAGUCAAGAUGGAUUCGGCCAAUAACUGUAAAUUCUGUUCUUUACAAAACAGGGUUUCCCCUGGUUCACCAUUUGUUGUCAUUUCUGUUUUAUGUCAUGGUCAGUGGUUUUCGGGGACCUAGACCAUUACAUAAGCUGCCUCGUGUCGUUUUCUUGGGUCCCGAGCCAAGAGGACGGCACAGGUCAGAAAGGAACACAGGUGGUUGAACAAUAUUCCUAUCUGAUAUUAGUAGUUUGUUCCUUUAGAAAUACUCGACAUCUCGGCGUCGACACAGUCACAGAAACCGAAUCAGCCAUUCACUGGGCUUGUACACCACAGAAACAGACUGAAGCAAUGAGUGCAGAAGUAGCCAUAUAUAGCUCUCGAAAUUUAAGCCGAAGGUCUUUCCUAUAUUUCUGAGCCAAGUUUCAUCUUUGUCUUGUUUUUUUUCUACCGAGGAUCAUCGAGGAAGUGUCUGGACGGGACGGGGAAAGGGAGGCGAGGAGAGGACUGGUGAAGGAAGGUACCGGACGUGACCGACUGGGGAUUCGAAGUCUUCCCACACAUAUGACAAGAACAUAUGUGUGGUGUGAGGCAGCUUGGUCGUGAGGCAGCUGAUGCGUGCAUACAUCCUGCUCUUGCGCCUGUUUCUUGCAAGCUUGGAGGAAGGAAGCAGACAAGAAUACUGUUGACUGGGUUAACACACCUGUACAAGAAGUUGGUAAGGAAACAGCUCUCAGCAGCUUCCAGGAUCGUAUUGGUGCCCGGAUCAACUGCAGCUGCAGUGGUGGGACUUAUCCUGGCGACAGGCUGCCUGAUGACAUCUCCACGGUGACGUCCAGAAAGAUCGUGUCCUCGGACUUCAGCGCGCUUCUGUUGUGUACAGGCUGAUGUGUGGCUGAUUUGGUUUCUGUGACGGUGUCGAUGGCUGGGAUUGUAUUCGGUCAAUUACUGUAAAUUUUGUUCUUUAAUAAAACAGGAACUCCUGGUUUACCGUCUGUUUUCAUUCUGUUUUAUGUCGUGGUCAGUGGUUGUCGGGAACCCAGACCAUGACAUAAUCUGCCUCGUGUCGCUAUCUUGGGUCCCGAACCAAGAGAACGACACAGGCCAGAAAGGACAUGCACUUAAGCUUGCUUGAGUUUUAUGUACAUGUACAGUCAUAUUGGUCUCUUCUUGCGUUUCAAAAAGAUGUUGUGUACAUGUAGCUUAGUUCGGUCGCCUUUGUUUUGAAUCAUAUCAUGCCAUUCCAGUAUAUGAGUGACUAAAACUGAAAUGAUUGUUUCGUGUCGUGACCUUUGCAUGUCCUUUUUUCUCACUUAGACUUUAUGUUCUGUGCAUUUCAUGUAGAUUUCCACAUUUCCGUACUUUUGUAGAGGUUGUUUGUAGCCUUUCAAAUUAGUCUUUUGGCAAUUUCCCUGAUUAAAGGCUUAUGCUGCAACACAAACACACUAACAGACUAACCCCACCAAACACACACACUAACAACAUACUAAUGCAGCUCCAAUGCCUUAGGUUUAAAAAAAAGGUGAUUCUUCAAGUUCAAAGGCUCCAAGCUACCUCUAUACCAUGUUUGUGUCCUAGAGUAAAGAUAACUGUUAACCUAAAUGUUUUAAGUUUGAUUGGUUAACAUUUAGUACUAGGAUAGUUUUUAUUUAUUGUCUGGGUUUGUGAUUUGUACAUAUUUGUACGCGUUGCAUUCAUGUAUUUUGUCAGCAAUUGCUAUUGAAUAAACAAUUUGAAAUCA